rnacentral:rRNA from 1 species
GUAGGUGGCAAGCGUUGUCCGGAAUUAUUGGGCGUAAAGCGCGCGCAGGCGGUUCUUUAAGUCUGAUGUGAAAGCCCACGGCUCAACCGUGGAGGGUCAUUGGAAACUGGAGAACUUGAGUACAGAAGAGGAAAGCGGAAUUCCACGUGUAGCGGUGAAAUGCGUAGAGAUGUGGAGGAACACCAGUGGCGAAGGCGGCUUUCUGGUCUGUAACUGACGCUGAGGCGCGAAAGCGUGGGGGAGCAAACAGGAUUAGAUACCCUGGUUAGUCCACGCCGUAAACGAUGAGUGCUAAGUGUUAGGGGGUUUUCCGCCCCUUAGUGCUGCAGCUAACGCAUUAAGCACUCCCGCCUGGGAGUACGGCCGCAAGGCUG